CCUAAUCUGAUAGCUCAGUUGGUAGAGCAUGAGGCUCUUCAUCUGAGGGUUGUGGGUUCGAGGACAAAAGGAUUCCUGCAUUGCAGGA